rnacentral:sRNA from 1 species
ACUCUCCUCCUCCUCCUCCUACCCAUUGUUGGCUGCAGCAGUGCUUUAGCGCAAUUUGCAUACAAAAUGUGAACCUCGAAGUCGGUGAAAGGAUAAACAAGCAGUUCCAAUUGUUCCACGGCCCUCUCUCUCUCUCUCUCUCUUUCUCUCUGUCUGUGCUGCAUGUACCCCCUGAUGCUGUAUACCCUCUAUACGCUUGGGGUGUGCUGUAUUUGUGUAAAAUGGCACUCGAUGGCAAUCAGUUGCUUCGAUCACUCAAUGCGUCUCAGUGUUUUUCUUUGUUCCUUCAUUCUCCCCCCCAAACGACUAUCUGCCUAGACUAGAGAAAACGAGGGAGCUGGUUUUUUUUUGCCAAAUGUAAAUUGUAAAAACAAUUUUUCAUAGUUCUGCUUCAUCCUUGUUUCGAGGCGUGGACAUGCACGGUCUUGCAAGGCAGCAAAUCGCACCAGAAAGUAUGAGGUUUUUUCUACAACAACAAAUCCCACCGUCGCUCCAUCAAGUGUGAAAUUUUUAUGUAUUGCGCUCACGGACAGAUCAGCAGAUAAGCCGAAGGCAAGGCAGCAAAUCGCACCAUAAAGUAUGAGAUCAGCCGAAGGCAAGGCAGCGAAUCGCACCAGAAAGUAUGAGGUUUUUUCGACAACAACAAAUCCCUCGGUCGCGCCAUCAGGUAUGGUGUUUGUAUGUAUUGCGCUCACGGACAGAUCAGCAGAUCAGCCGACGGCAAAGCAGAGGAAUAGUCCCAUCAGUAAUUAAGAUAAUUUCCGCGCAGAAUGCUGGAAUCGGGGAAACCAUUCGAUUGAUUCCUGUUUAUUCACCAUAUUUAUUAGCCUCAAAUUAAAGCAGUGAUGAGUAUCCCCUAGUUGCCAUCUCCGACUGCAGCCCUCGCCAA